GUCAAAAAAACGAAGGCUCACGACGGAGACCUAGGCUCUCAGAGACGAUGAAAGGCGCGAUACCAGCGAUAUGCUUUGGGGAGUAGGAAGAAUGCAUUGAUCCAAAGAUUCCUGAAUAGGGCAACCUGUCCGACUAUCUAUGAAUUCAUAAAUAGAUUAGAGGCAACCUGGUGAACUGAAACAUCUCAGUAGCCAGAGGAAAAGAAAGCAAAAGCGAUUCCCGUAGUAGCGGCGAGCGAACUGGGACCAGCCUAAACCAAUUUAAUUGGGGUUGUGGGAAGACAAACUUGCACUCUUUCUUCUUUGCUUCUUCGCGAAGCGAAGAAGGAGCGAGUGCAACUUGCGCAAGCAAAAGAAGAAAGUAAGAAAAAAGACGAAGCAGCUGAAUCCUGCACCAUAGAUGGUGAAAGUCCAGUAGUCAUAUUCAAUUCUUUAAGUUUUUAACUAGCAAAAGAAGUUUUUAACUAGCAAAAGCUAUGCCUCCGAAGGAAGCGUAGCGAAGCAAGUUAAAAUAAAUCAAACUUGUAAAUAAAAUUUACAAGCAAAAGCAAAAGCAAGCAAAUAAAAUGUCUAUCCCGAGUAGCAUGGGGCACGUGGAAUCCCGUGUGAAUCUGCGAGGACCACCUCGUAAGGCUAAACACUCCUGAGAGACCGAUAGCGAAAUAGUACAGCGAUGGAAAGGUGAAAAGAACCCCCGUAGGGGAGUGAAAUAGAACAUGAAAUCGUGAGCUGACAAGCAGUGGGAGGAUUUUUUGAAUCUGACCGCGUGCCUGUUGAAGAAUGAGCCGGCGACUUAUAGGAAGUGGCAGGUUAAAGAGUAAGAUCUGGAGCCUAAGCGAAAGCGAGUCUGAAUAGGGCGCAAGUCACUUCUUAUGGACCCGAACCUGGAUGAUCUAACCAUGAGCAAGCUGAAGCUUAGGUAACACUUAGUGGAGGGCUGUACGGACCGGUGUUGAAAAAUCGGCCGAUGACUUGUGGUUAGCGGAGAAAUUCCAAUCGAAUUCAGAGCUAGCUGGUUCUCCCCGAAAUGCGUUGAGGCGCAGCGGCAAUGAUGGGCAAUCUAAGGGUAGAGCGACUGUUUCGGUGCGGGCUGCGAAAGCGGUACCAAGUCGUGGCAAACUCCGAAUAUUAGAUUUGCUUUCCAUGUGCCAGUGAGACAGUGGGGGAUAAGCUUCAUUGUCAAGAGGGAAACAGCCCAGAUCAUCAGCUAAGGCCCCUAAAUGGCUCCUAAGUGGAAAAGGAUGUGAGAAUGCUGAAACAACCAGGAAAUUUGCUUAGAAGCAGCCAUUUUUUAAAGAGUGCGUAAUAGCUCACUGGUAAAGCGUUUUUGCGCCGACAAUGGCCGGGACUAAGGAGCCUGCCGAAGCUAUGAGAUUUUUUGUUUCUUUUAUUUAAAGAAUUUAAAUAAAACUUGUAAAUAAAAUUUAUAAGCAAAAGAAAAAAUAAAAAUCGGUAGGGGAGCGUUCAGCAUUGGGUGAAGCUUUGGCGUAAGUUUGAGUGGACGAUGCUGAAGUGAGAAUGUCGGCUUGAGUAACGAAAACAUUGGUGAGAAUCCAAUGCCCCGAAAACCUAAGGGUUCCUUUACAAGGUUCGUCCAUGAAGGGUGAGUCAGGACCUAAGGCGAGGCCGAUAGGCGUAGUCGAUGGCAAACAGGUUGAUAUUCCUGUACUUUUUUGAAGGGGAACCGAGGGACGAAGUCGGCUAAAUUGAGUCUGUGAAUGGAAUGCAGUGGAAGUGUCCGAGGUUAAACAGAUCGAAAAAAAACGAAUCUGUAGCUAAGGCAUGAUCCCACUCUCCUGAACUUGUUCGGGUAGAGUGUCAAUGAUGUCAUACUUCCAAGAAAAGCUCGUACACCAUCUUUUUAAGAAUAAACCUUCAAAAAACCUGUACCUGAAACCGACACAGGUAGGUUGGUAGAGAAUACUAAGGGGCGCAAGAGAACUCUCUCUAAGGAACUCGGCAAAUUGGCCCCGUAACUUCGGGAGAAGGGGCGCCCUUGAUUAAAUCAAGGGCCACAGUAACAAGAUUCAGGCAACUGUUUACCAAAAACACAGGUCUCCGCAAAGUCGUAAGACAAUAUAUGGGGGCUGACGCCUGCCCAGUGCCGGAAGGUGAAGGAAGUUGGUUAUUUGGGCCUUGUGCUCGGAGAAGCUGACGACCGAAGCCCCGGUGAACGGCAGCUGUAACUAUGACAGUUCUAAGGUAGCGAAAUUCAUUGUCGAGUAAGUUUCGACCUGCACGAAAGGCGUAAUGAUCUGAAUACUGUCUCAGAGAGAGACUUGGUGAAAUAGACUUAUCCGUGAAGAUGCGGAUUAACAACAUUUGGACAGAAAGACCCUAUGAAGCUUGACUGUAUCCUGGAAUUGGGUUCGGGCUUUUCUUGCGCAGUCUAGGUGGGAGGCAUUGAAGAUUUCUUUCCGGAGAGAUUGGAGCCAUCAGUGAGAGACCACUCUGGAAAGGCUAGAAUCCUAAGAGUGAUCCCUAAUCGGGACAUUUGACGUUUUCAGGAAGGCAGUUUUUUUGGGGCGAAAGUCCUCCUAAAAGGUAACGGAGGCGCGCAAAGGUUUCCUCAGUCUGGACGGAAAUCAGACGUUACAGAGUGUAAAGGCAAAAGGAAGCUUGACUGCAAGACCUACAAGUCGAGCAGGGGCGAAAGCCGGCCUUAGUGAUCCGACGGUGUCCGUGUGGAAGGGCCGUCGCUCAACGGAUAAAAGUUACUCUAGGGAUAACAGGCUGAUCUUCUCCAAGAGUUCACAUCGACGAGAAGGUUUGGCACCUCGAUGUCGGCUCAUCACAUCCUGGGGCUGUAGUAGGUCCCAAGGGUUGGGCUGUUCGCCCAUUAAAGUGGUACGUGAGCUGGGUUCAAAACGUCGUAAGACAGUUUGGUCCAUAUCCGAUGUUGUCGUUAGAGCGCUGAGAGGAUCCUUAAAUAGUACGAGAGGAUUUUUAAGGUCGUGCCUAUGGUGUAUCAGUUCUCUCUCCAGAGGGAAACGCUGAGUAGCUACGCACGGUUUAGAUAACCGCUGAAAGCAUCUAAGUGGGAAGCUUUCCUCAAGAUGAGCGCUCUCCAUUAUGCCACAGCUAGACAAGCUGAUGAUAGGUAUCAGGUGAAAGGUCUGCAAGGAUUUGAGCCAAGAUAUACUAAAGGCCAAUUGAUUUUGACCA
rnacentral:rRNA from 1 species